rnacentral:rRNA from 1 species
AACGCUAGCUACAGGCUUAACACAUGCAAGUCGCGGGGUAACGAGAGGGAAGCUUGCUUUCCUUGUCGACGACCGGCGCACGGGUGAGUAACGCGUAUCCAGCCUGCCCAUUACCACGGGAUACCCCGUCGAAAGGCGGCCUAAUACCGUAUGCAGUCGUCGGAUGACAUCAGAGGACGACGAAAGGAUUGGCGGUAAUGGAUGGGGAUGCGUCUGAUUAGCUUGUUGGCGGGGUAACGGCCCACCAAGGCGACGAUCAGUAGGGGUUCUGAGAGGAAGGUCCCCCACAUUGGAACUGAGACACGGUCCAAACUCCUACGGGAGGCAGCAGUGAGGAAUAUUGGUCAAUGGGCGAGAGCCUGAACCAGCCAAGUAGCGUGCAGGAUGACGGCCCUAUGGGUUGUAAACUGCUUUUAUAAGGGGAUAAAGUGAGUCUCGUGAGACUUUUUGCAUGUACCUUAUGAAUAAGGACCGGCUAAUUCCGUGCCAGCAGCCGCGGUAAUACGGAAGGUCCGGGCGUUAUCCGGAUUUAUUGGGUUUAAAGGGAGCGUAGGCCGGAGAUUAAGCGUGUUGUGAAAUGUAGACGCUCAACGUCUGCACUGCAGCGCGAACUGGUUUCCUUGAGUACGCACAAAGUGGGCGGAAUUCGUGGUGUAGCGGUGAAAUGCUUAGAUAUCACGAAGAACUCCGAUUG